rnacentral:rRNA from 1 species
UGGAGAAAAGCAGGGGAUCGAAAGACCUUGCGCUAAAGGAGCGGCCGAUGUCUGAUUAGCUAGUUGGUGGGGUAAAGGCUUACCAAGGCAACGAUCAGUAGUUGGUCUGAGAGGACGGCCAACCACACUGGGACUGAGACACGGCCCAGACUCCUACGGGAGGCAGCAGUGGGGAAUUUUGGACAAUGGGCGAAAGCCUGAUCCAGCCAUGCCGCGUGAGUGAAGAAGGCCUUCGGGUUGUAAAGCUCUUUUAGUCGGAAAGAAAGAGUUGCAAUGAAUAAUUGUGAUUUAUGACGGUACCGACAGAAAAAGCACCGGCUAACUACGUGCCAGCAGCCGCGGUAAUACGUAGGGUGCGAGCGUUAAUCGGAAUUACUGGGCGUAAAGGGUGCGCAGGCGGUCUUGCAAGUCAGAUGUGAAAGCCCCGGGCUUAACCUGGGAAUUGCGUUUGAAACUACAAGGCUAGA